rnacentral:lncRNA from 1 species
GGAGGAGGUUGGCCCCCGAGGGGACGGAGCGAGAUGGGGGUGGGGAGCACUGAACACUGGGCUGGGCUUCUGCAAGACCGAAGGGCAGAUAGAGGCCAUAUGAGUCUGCGCGGAUUGGGAAUGGGAUUCAGGAGUGGACUACAAGUCCCAGUAGGGUGUGUGGCCACGGCUCUCAGGCUUGGAUCGGGAUUGGAAUAAAAGGCGGUGUUCAGAGAAAGAGAGCUUGCUGCACCCACUGGGGCUUGCGGUUUAUGGGGGCGUUGUAUCGCUAUAGGAAGGAAUUGGGCGCGAAUGAUUUGGGGAUAAGGGAAAAUACUUCGCGGCUUCCAGACGGAAGGUGUAUUUCGUACUCUGGCACCUGCCCCGAGUCCUGCCCCUCCACCAGAGUUGUCAACACGGUUUACUUGGCCCGAGCUCCUGCGAGAUAGGUGCCGCUCUGUUCACCUUGGUCGAACCCGCCACCCCGCUUCUGCACACUUACUUGGCACCAUUCAUGGUGAAUGUAUCCUGCUUUCUCCCAUCCCAUUUAGUCGUUUCAUUACAUAAAUGUUUCAACAAACUGUUUGCUGAAUCGAAUUUUUCUUUCUUGAUAUGAUAUUGGGGGAGAGAGGGGAGUUUUCCUCAGGAAUAUUCCCUAUUUCCAUCUGCUGGAACCAGAUCUCCAAUGACUGAGCUUCUGAAAGGCACAGACCAUUAUGAAAUCCUGAUAUAUUGUCUUAAAUAAUUUAUUAUAAUCUGUGCAGGUCUUUUUUUUUUUUUUUAGACGGAGUUUUGUUCUUGUUGCCCAGGCUGGAGUGCAAUGGCGCGAUCUCGGCUCACCGCAACAUCUGCCUCCUGGGUUCAGGCAAUUCUCCUGCCUCAGCCUCCCGAGUAGCUGGGAUUACAGGCACUCGCCACCAUGCCCAGCUAAUUUUUUGUAUUUUUAGUAGAGACGGGGUUUCACCAUGUUGACCGGGAUGGUCUCGAUCUCUUGACCUCGUGAUCCACCCGCCUCGGCCUCCCACAGU